rnacentral:lncRNA from 1 species
GAAGGGAGCCUGAAGAGCUGGUCCUUAUACAGCUUUCUGAAAUCCCUGAGAUCUGUCAAUGAAUCGCGCAUCUUUCACUCCACAAGUAUUUGUUGAACGUCAUUGGGAUCAUGCUGGCUGCUGUGUGGAGAAAAGACCGAGGGGAAGUAAAAGAACAAAGAACAAAAGAGAACAUGAUGGCUUGGAUCAAGAGGUUAGAAGAUGAGCAGGACCCAGUAAAGGAGUGGCUAGAAAGAUAGGAGAAAAACCAGGUAAGUGUGGUGUCCUGGAAGCCUGAUUCAGAGAUAGGAAUUGAUAUAUUGUACCAAAUAGUGUAGAUAAUUCAAAUAAAAUGAGGACUGAAAAAUGACUAUUGGAUUUAGUAAUUGUGGAGGUCAGUGGUAACCUAGUGAUGAGAAGGGCAGUUUCAGUGGAGUGGUAGAGGCAAAAUCCUGAUAGAGUGGAUUCAAAAGAGAAUACGAGAUAAAAUGGGAGAGAGUAAAUACGUAUUUUUUCAAGAAAAAAAAGUUGGUUAUUUAGUCUUUUGUGAAUGGAUAGAAAAAAGUGAUGCAAGACUGGGCACGGUGGCUCACGCCUGUAACCCCAGCACUUUGGGAGGGCCUGGUUCUUGACUAUCCCCUAAAAUUGUCAGUCAGUAGAAGCUCACUGAGUAUCAUCUGAAUUUGAAUCACCAUUAGCUCCCUUCUGAUGAAGCAGGAGUUGACUCAGCUGGGCUUUCAGCUGGACACGGAAAGCGGAGGUAGAUGAAUUGUCAUGAUCAAGUGGGUGUCAUCAAGUACUUAGAAAGGUUUCAUUUUGUUCCUACUGUCUUUCCAACUUACUAAUAAAAAUAUUGAAAUCUGGCCCUACUAGCACACCUACGGGGAGCCACAGUGUAAGACAUUUGGAGACAUCACAUGGUGUUCUGAUGAAGAAGCUAAGGCAGAGUCCUCUAGCUCUCAUAUAUCAACCACAGAGGAAGUUAAAUGGGUGGCCACAGUACAAAAGCAGCUCCAAUAAAGCCAACGAACAUGCAUUAGAAACUCAAGCUUCUCAUCACCAAAUGGUUUCACGAUAGAAGAAUGCUCAACAGAAGGGAACCCCAAAUCACUUUAUUUACAGAAACCUGUGAAGUGCAGUGGUGGUACACGGCACUUAAGUAUUUUAUUUAAAAGCCACACUUUUAAGAAGACCCAAGCUCAAGCCCUGGCUGCACCAUGUACCAUCCUUGCAACCCUGAGCAAGUUGUUUCGCCACCCCAAAUCUGGUUCUUUUCUUGCUAGAUAGAAGCCCUGAUAUUGCCCAUUUCACACAGUGGUCCUGAGACUCCAAUGAGAGAUAAUGUGGAAGCAUCUUGUAGACUAAAAUGUUAAUAAAAAUGUUAACUAAAAUGUUAAAUCAAAAAGAAAUGCGGGAAAUAAAUGUUGUAU